CAGUCGCCGCGGGAAAACGAAGGGUGCAAGCGUUAAUCGGAAUUACUGGGCGUAAAGCGUGCGCAGGCGGUUUGUUAAGACAGAUGUGAAAUCCCCGGGCUCAACCUGGGAACUGCAUUUGUGACUGGCAAGCUAGAGUCUGGCAGAGGGGGGUGGAAUUCCGCGUGUAGCAGUGAAAUGCGUAGAUAUGCGGAGGAACACCGAUGGCGAAGGCAGCCCCCUGGGCCAACACUGACGCUCAUGCACGAAAGCGUGGGGAGCAAACAGGAUUAGAGACCCGCGUAGUCCCUGUCUCUUAUAC
rnacentral:rRNA from 1 species